rnacentral:rRNA from 1 species
CAGUCGCCGCGGUAAUACGUAGGGUGCAAGCGUUAAUCGGAAUUACUGGGCGUAAAGCGUGCGCAGGCGGUUAUAUAAGACAGAUGUGAAAUCCCCGGGCUCAACCUGGGAACUGCAUUUGUGACUGUAUAGCUAGAGUACGGCAGAGGGGGAUGGAAUUCCGCGUGUAGCAGUGAAAUGCGUAGAUAUGCGGAGGAACACCGAUGGCGAAGGCAUUCCCCUGGGCCUGUACUGACGCUCAUGCACGAAAGCGUGGGGAGCAAACAGGAUUAGAUACCCGCGUAGUCCCUGUCUCUUAUAC